UAUACUUCCACCAAGGUCAUCAUCUACUCUAGUGCCAUAACUUGUACUCUCUCGUAUUUCUAUUCCAUGUUCUAUUAAAUAAUCUUGAAUCAAUAUUCUCAUACCUCUUUUGUCAAAAUUAGUUUGAAAGAAAUCCUCUGUAUCUUUUAAUACAAUCUUUUCAUCUUUCCCAUAAAUAAUUCCUUACUACAUCAUAUUAUUAAAUUCAUUGCAAUCCUUCCUAGUAUAUGAAACGUCAUCAUACCAAAUACAUCUUUGUACAUACUCUUGUUUUGAAACAUUCUUCAAAUUAUUUGUAGAAGUAUUUUCUUCAAGUAUUGCUAAUUUGAUUUGAAGAUCUCGUAUUCCACGUAUAAUUUCUUCAAUCCCUAUCUCUACUUUCUUUGAUAAAGAUGUCGAAGGUUGAACAAUAGGCAUUGUCCAUCGUAUUGUAUGUAUUAGAUUUUUAGGUGCUUAUACUACUUUUGGAAUAUUACUCCUAACCUUCUUCUUUUCUCUUUUUGCAAGAAAAUCCUUUGCAUUUUCAACAUUUUUCCACUUUGUUGUCAAUCCUUCAUCUUCUUCUUUGUCUUCAAGAAGCAACUCCGAUUUCUCCUGUAAUUUUCCAUCAGCAGCUUGAAGAAAUAAU
rnacentral:lncRNA from 1 species